AUUGAACGCUGGCGGCAGGCCUAACACAUGCAAGUCGAACGAGUGGCGGACGGGUGAGUAAUGUCUGGGAAACUGCCUGAUGGAGGGGUAUAACUUCUGGAAACGGUCGCUAAUACCGCAUACCAUCAGAUGCGCCCAGAUGGGUUUAGCUAGUUGGUGGGGUAACGGCUCACCAAGGCGACGAUCCCUAGCUGGUCUGAGAGGAUGACCAGCCACACUGGAACUGAGACACGGUCCAGACUCCUACGGGAGGCAGCAGUGGGGAAUAUUGCACAAUGGGCGCAAGCCUGAUGCAGCCAUGCCGCGUGUAUGAAGAAGGCCUUCGGGUUGUAAAGUACUUUCAGCGGGGAGGCGUUACCCGCAGAAGAAGCACCGGCUAACUCCGUGCCAGCAGCCGCGGUAAUAC
rnacentral:rRNA from 1 species